CCGAGUGAGGGCCUCCGGGCUCGACCUCCCACCCUUUGACAAACGUCCGGUUUGCCUCGGGGGUGACCCGGAUCUCAAAACGUCCGGGUGACUCCCGGAGGGAUACCCACUCUGCAUUUUGGCGUCGGAGUCUAUUAAGUAAAUCGAAUGA
rnacentral:misc_RNA from 1 species